rnacentral:tRNA from 1 species
UUGAUAGAAGCCAAAAAGAGGCUUAUCACUGUUAAUGAUAGAACUGAAGUUAUUUCCUAUCAAG